AUGGUUUUUAUUCCCUCAAUGAAUGCUGGGAAAGAAAACGGCGCUGAAAAAACAUAAAGUCUCUACCGUUUCAUUUCGUCGUCAUUCAAUGGAAAUGAACUCGACCAUAAAUUUGCACACCGACUGUUUUUCUUUUCUUGGUGCACUUCAAAUUGAGGAUCCACGAUCUCUUGAGGGUGCGCUUGAAGAAUCUGUCAAAUCCAUUAUAAUCCCAGGCUUUCUGCGUUUUCGCAGCACGCAAUCAAGUUAUUUCAGAAUGCCUACGUGCACCGUAAUGGAACCACGACCGCAAGUACGAGACUUCCAAAAUGGGGAAGUAAAAUUCAAAGUCUUGGAACCUGGCGUUCCCAAGAGUCCCUCAUGUCAACUAGCCGGCGAAGCUCUCCGAACAAAUUCAUGUACUUGCAUUAAAGGUUUAAAUUUAUGUCUACUUCGCAUUUUCGGAACCAAACAUAUUGAGGGCUUUUGUUUAUACACUUAUCACAAGUGAUGCUAUUUUUUCGUUCAAAAGUUGAUUGGCAGGAAGCAUGAAAUCUUUUUGUCACCAAAAUAAAUUGAAAGAGGGUAUAUUUUCGUUGAAAAUGUUAUAGUUUUUUUGGAUUAGAUGUUUCAGAUAUCUCUUCUUUGUAGUUAACUUGGAUGGCACAAGUGUCUUUUUCAAGGUAAGUUUUAAAGUUGAAAUCAGUUGGUGGACUCUUAACCUAUACAGAUUCUGCUACUUUUGUUAGUAAGUUUAAGUUCAAUAAUCAUCAUGUAACUUAUUUAGAUGAACUGCAUUUGACAAUUUGAUCGUAAUAUCAACAACGUUCUUUACAAAUUUCAGGCAUCUUGGAAAACGGCAGAUAAUUACAUUGAUCUUCCAAGGGAGCAACUCGAUAAACAUGGUGGAGUUUUUAAUUUUAAGUAAUCUAAUCUAUUAAGAGAUGGCUAGGGAUAUGCUUCUUACCGGAAUGGCUUAAAAGUUAAAAGUGAUGUCUAUUCUAUUUGCAAUCCUUUAUGUUUUGAAUAUACUCAUUUGCAUGUCUAUUUAUAAACUAUUCAAAUGCUCAAGCAAUCUAAAGGGGUUUCAACUACUUAUGUUGUGUACAGAGGGGCUAAUCAUACUACUACAUAUUACUGCAUUGGUAAUUGUCUGCCCAACAACAAUAUUAUGUGCAGAAGAUUGAACAAUAAGAAUAUUUGACAUUGUAUUCUCUUCUUCCUUUUUUUGGGUCAAGGGUAAAAUGUAACAUUUCUAGAAUUUUGGUCAGCUCUCCACUACAUGAAAUACUUGACGAAAGUGGUCUCUUCUGUUUUGGGGUUUAUUGUAACUUAACAUUUUUCUUUAACUUUGGUUAUUUGAAGAUUCUGAACUUCUGAACAUACCUUUUGUAUGGAAAUAAACUAAGGAUUUUUUUGUGUGCUAAUAAUAAAUUACCUGAAA